rnacentral:rRNA from 1 species
ACUGAACGCUGGCGGCAUGCUUUACACAUGCAAGUCGAACGGUAACAGGGAGCUUGCUCCGCCGACGAGUGGCGAACGGGUGAGUAAUGCAUCGGAACAUGCCCAGUCAUGGGGGGAUAACUACGCGAAAGCGUAGCUAAUACCGCAUACGCCCUGAGGGGGAAAGUGGGGGGUCUUAGGACCUCACGUGAUUGGAGUGGCCGAUGUCAGAUUAGCUAGUUGGUGAGGUAAAGGCUCACCAAGGCGACGAUCUGUAGCGGGUCUGAGAGGAUGAUCCGCCACACUGGGACUGAGACACGGCCCAGACUCCUACGGGAGGCAGCAGUGGGGAAUUUUGGACAAUGGGCGCAAGCCUGAUCCAGCCAUGCCGCGUGAGUGAAGAAGGCCU